AGAGUUUGAUCCUGGCUCAGGACGAACGCUGGCGGCGUGCUUAACACAUGCAAGUCGAACGAGAUCCAUGGAGUAGCAAUACUCCGGAAGAUCUAGUGGCGAACGGGUGAGUAACACGUGAGCAACCUGCCCUAAAGACUGGGAUAACCCCGGGAAACCGGAGCUAAUACCAGAUGUCCUCUUCGGAUCGCAUGGUCUGAUGAGGAAAUGAAUUUCGCUUUAGGAGGGGCUCGCGGGAUAUCAGCUUGUUGGUGGGGUAACGGCCUACCAAGGCUUCGACGUCUAGCUGGUCUGAGAGGACGAUCAGCCACACUGGGACUGAGACACGGCCCAGACUCCUACGGGAGGCAGCAGUGGGGAAUCUUGCCCAAUGGGCGAAAGCCUGAGGCAGCAACGCCGCGUGUGGGAUGACGGCCCUCGGGUUGUAAACCACUUUCAGCAGGGACGAAAUUGACGGUACCUGCAGAAGAAGCUCCGGCCAACUACGUGCCAGCAGCCGCGGUAAUACGUAGGGAGCAAGCGUUGUCCGGAUUUAUUGGGCGUAAAGAGCGCGUAGGCGGCUUAGUAAGCCGGAUGUGAAACCCCCAAGCUCAACUUGGGGCGGCCAUUCGGAACUGCUAUGGCUAGAGUCUGGUAGGGGAACACGGAAUUCCUGGUGUAGCGGUGAAAUGCUUAGAUAUCAGGAGGAACACCAGUGGCGAAGGCGGUGUUCUGGGCCAGUACUGACGCUGAGACACGAAAGCGUGGGGAGCAAACGGGAUUAGAUACCCUGGUAGUCC
rnacentral:rRNA from 1 species